GCUGUGGCUGCUGAUUGCACAUGUGUUUCCAGCUCCACUCCCGUGGUGAGAAUGUUUACAGAAACAGGCGCGUUGUCAGAGAAUGUAGAGAAAGCAGGAUUGAGAGAUUAAGAGCACAAUUUCCAUGUCUAGACAUAGUUCACGCAGCCGGCAUCUGCUCCAAUCAGGGUCUCCAGAACUCAGCAACUUGUGCUGAUCACU
rnacentral:lncRNA from 1 species